rnacentral:rRNA from 1 species
AUUGAACGCUGGCGGCAGGCUUAACACAUGCAAGUCGAACGAGUGGCGGACGGGUGAGUAAUGCUUGGGAAUCUAGCUUAUGGAGGGGGAUAACUACGGGAAACUGUAGCUAAUAACGCUUACCAUAGGAUGAGCCCAAGUGGGAUUAGGUAGUUGGUGGGGUAAAGGCUCACCAAGCCGACGAGCUCUAGCUGGUCUGAGAGGAUGACGGGACACACUGGGACUGAGACACGGCCCAGAAUCCUAGGGGAGGCAGAAGGGGGGAAACUUGCGCAAUGGACGGAAGUUGAAGGCGCACAGCCGCGUGAGUGAUGACAGCUUUCAGGUUGUAAAGCUCUGUUAAUAGGGAAGCGGUACCGGAAUAGAAAGCAACGGCUAACUACGUGCCAGCAGCCGCGGUAAUAC